GUGGGGAUCUGGACCAUUUACAAGAUAAUAGCACAUUCUCAAAUUGAACGGGGUGGGGGCGACCCCCAGGAAAUUCCUUUUAAUUUAAUUUCAUUUGUUUUAUUGUCCCCUACAAGAAUAUAUAUGGUUUAGGGGUGGGGAUGUUGACCGUUCACAAGUUUUCAAACAACAGGGGGUGAGGUAACCCCCUCCAGACUUCCCUUUUAUUUCAUUUCAUUUGUUUUAUUGUCCCCUACAAGAAUAUAUAUGGUUUAGGGGUGGGGAUCUGGACCGCUUAAAAGAUAAUAGUACAUUCUCAAAUUGAACGGGGUGGGGUGACCCCCAGGAACUUCCAUUUACUUUCAUGUGAUUUGUUUUAUUGUCCCAUACAAGAAUAUAUAUGGUUUAGGGGUGGGGAUGUUGACCGUUUACAAGUUUUCAAACAAGAGGGGGUGGGGUGAUCCCCUAGGGACUUCCCUUUAAUUUCAUUUCAUUUGUUUUAUUGUCCCCUACAAGAAUAUAUAUGGUUUAGGGGUGGGGAUCUGGACCGUUUACAAGAUAAUAGCACAUUAUGAAAUUGAACGGGGUGGGGAUGACCCCCGGGGACCUCCCUUUAAUUGCAUUUUAUUUGUUUUAUUGUCCCAAUCAGGAAUAUAUAUGGUUUAGGGGUGGGGAUCUGGAUCGGUUACAAGAUAUAAGCAUAUUCUAAAAUUGAAGGGGGUGGGGAUGAACUUCCAGGGACUCCCACCAUAUUUCUUGUGAUUUGUUUUAUUGUCCUAUAAUCAUUUCUGAAGACUGUAUGUAUCUAUCACUUACAGUUUUCAAGUUAUAUUCAUUUGAAAAUUUUAGAAAAUAAAAUCCCAUAGGGUUCUAUAGUAAAACCCUCCCUUCUUUCUACCCCCAAAAAUACCCCUUAAUAGACCCCAAUGCACAAACGAAAGAUUGAUGGCUCACCUAGACAUAUUUGUCUACCAUUUUAUGAAAUCCUAAGUCAAUCUGACCAGCGGUUUUGGAGAAACGCUGCGGACAAGUUCAUUUUUUAAAGUGGCGGAAGAAGAAGAAGAAGAAUAAUAAAAACUAGAUUUGCCAUUGCAAGCAAUAGCGGAUGGCACCCUUCCCCCAUUGCCAGGUGAGCGGCAGCCAUUUUGAAAAUUCCAAAGUCAAAGAUUGCAUCUACAGAUGUGUAUUAACAUUGUUGUAACGUUUCAUUAAUUUUGGAGCAUUUUGAAAUUUUUGAAAUUUUUGCUAUUUCCAUGGUAACGGCUACCAUUUCUAAAAUUCCAAAGACAGAUGCCACUUUGGGACAUGCCAUGUUACAUAUCUAUAAAGUUUCAUUGGGAUUGAUGCUAUAUUCUUCAAGAAAAUGCAUCUUUAAUGUAUUUUCCCAUAGGGCCAAUGUUAAACUUUCGCCCUGUUUCCAUGACAAUGGCGGCCAUUUUGGAAUUUUCUUAUAUUGUCACAAUAUCUAGGCAUACCAAGGAACAUUACCAUAAAGUUUCAUCCAGCUAGGUCUUAUAAUGAAAGAUUUAAAAUUUGCAUUUUUUUUCACAUUUCAUCAGUUUCCAUGGCAACGGCGGCCAUUUUUUACCAUUCCAAUGUCUCUUGCACUACUUUACAUGGCGGUUCAUAUUAUGGUAUAGUUCUAUCAACAUGGGUCUGACCAAUCCAGAGAAAUAGUAUGGACAAAAUGUGUGGAAGAAUAAAAAUAAUAAUAACUAGAUUUGCCAUUGCAAGCAAUAGCGGAUGGCACCCUUCCCCUAUUGCCAGGUUAGCGGUAGCCAUGGUUACGGUGGCCAUUUUGGAAAUUCCAAACUCAAAAGUCAAGUCUACAUUAGCUGAGCAACAUUUGUUAUAAGUUUCAAUAAAUUUGAAGCAUUUUGAAGUUUUUUGUAUUUUUGCUGUUUCCAUGGUAACGGCGGCCAUUUUGAAUAUUCCAAAGUCAAACCCCCGCUGCAAUUUUUUCCCUCCACAAUCAUAUACCAUUUAAUGUCUCUAGAAUAAAUUAAACAUUGAUGUUCUAGAAUGUUCUGUGAAAAUUCAAAGUUUUGACCUUUUUGCAUUGUUUCCAUGGUAACAACAGCGAUUUUGGAAAUUCCAACGCCAAAUUCCACAUCUUCCAAUGUUGCUCAUCGUUACUGUGAAGUUUCAUUAAGUUUGGAGCAUUUUGAGAUUUUUGAAAUUUUUGGUGUAGUUUCCAUGGCAACAUAGUAGUUCCAAUGAUCAUCAAAAUCAUCCAACACCUGUAUAUAGUGGGCACCUACAUUGUAUUAAAAUAUAAUGAUUCUGAGAUAAAGCAUAUCCAAACAGUUCACCAAAACAAAAAACUGGAUUUUUUCACAUUUGUUCAGUUUCCAUGGUAACGGCGGCCAUUUUUUACCAUUCCAAUGUCUCUUGCACAACUUAACAUGGCGGUUCAUAUUAUGGUACAGUUCCAUCAACAUUGGUCUGACCAAUUCUGAGAAAUAGUAUGGACAAAAUGUGUGGAAGAAUAAAAAUAAUAAUAAUAAUAAUAAAAAGAAAAAAAAGAAACGAACAAUAACAAUAUGUCACCCCAACUCCGUUGAGGGUGCCAUAAUAAUAAUAAAAAGAAAAAAAAGAAACGAACAAUAACAAGAUGUCACCCCAACUCCGUUGAGGGUGCCAUAACUAGAAUUGCCAUUGCAAGCAAUAGCGGAUGUCACCCUUCCCCCCAUUGCCACUAAGCGGCAGCCAUUUCAAAAACUUUUAACAGUGAAUGCACAUAUUUGCAUGGCUAUACAUUUUUCUGUAAAUUUUCAGUACAUUUAGAUCAUUUUUAAAAACAUGACAUUUUUGCUGUUUCCAUGGCAACGGCAGCCAUUUUGAAAAUUCCAAAGUCAAAAGUCUC
rnacentral:lncRNA from 1 species